UACGGGGGGGGCAAGCGUUGUUCGGAAUUACUGGGCGUAAAGGGCGCGUAGGCGGUUGGAUAAGUCAGCUGUGAAAACCACGGGCUUAACUCGUGGCCUGCAGUUGAGACUGUCUGGCUUGAGUGUGGGAGAGGAGAGUGGAAUUCCUGGUGUAGCGGUGAAAUGCGUAGAUAUCAGGAGGAACACCGGUGGCGAAGGCGGGUCUCUGGGCAACAACUGACGCUGAGGAGCGAAAGCGUGGGGAGCGAACAGG
rnacentral:rRNA from 1 species